rnacentral:rRNA from 1 species
AGAGUUUGAUCCUGGCUCAGAUUGAACGCUUUCGGAAUGCUUUACACAUGCAAGUCGAACGAUGAACCUUAUCUUGCUAAGGGGAUUAGUGGCGAACGGGUGAGUAAUAUAUCGGAACGUGCCUUGUAAUGGGGGAUAACUAGUCAAAAGAUUAGCUAAUACCGCAUACCCCCUGAGGGGGAAAGUAGGGGAUCUUCGGACCUUACGUUAUAAGAGCGGCCGAUAUCUGAUUAGCUAGUUGGGGGGGUAAUGGCCUACCAAGGCGACGAUCAGUAGCUGGUCUGAGAGGACCACCAGCCACACUGGAACUGAGACACGGUCCACACUCCUACGGGAGGCAGCAGUGGGGAAUUUUGGACAAUGGGCGCAAGCCUGAUCCAGCCAUUCCGCGUGAGUGAAGAAGGCCUUCGGGUUGUAAAGCUCUUUCGCAAGGGAAGAAAACUUACUUUCUAAUAAAGAGUGAGGCUGACGGUACCUUGAUAAGAAGCACCGGCUAACUACGUGCCAGCAGCCGCGGUAAUACGUAGGGUGCGAGCGUUAAUCGGAAUUACUGGGCGUAAAGCGUGCGCAGGCGGUUUGGCAAGUCAGAUGUGAAAUCCCCGAGCUCAACUUGGGAACUGCGUUUGAAACUGCCAGACUAGAAUAUGUCAGAGGGGGGUAGAAUUCCACGUGUAGCAGUGAAAUGCGUAGAGAUGUGGAGGAAUACCAAUGGCGAAGGCAGCCCCCUGGGAUAAUAUUGACGCUCAUGCACGAAAGCGUGGGGAGCAAACAGGAUUAGAUACCCUGGUAGUCCACGCCCUAAA